rnacentral:lncRNA from 1 species
UGCACCCUCUUUUUCAAACACCAUCAAUUACAUCAACUGAAGUAAACAACCCCAGUUGGGAUUCUCACGAAUCCCAUAAAUUGUCUCGAACUACUUCUGGAAAUUGUUGUCAGUAUGGUGGCUCAAAUAAAAACCUGGAGAAUAUGAUCAGUACAGUUAUUGAUCAGUAUGGACAAGUUAAGCCAAAUUUAUCAAACAGUCAAUGUGGAAUGUUACCUGUUUCAGGGGUUAUUUCGGAUCUUAAGUCCAAGGGACAUGGUAAUGUUCUCACUUCUGUGUUCUCCGCACCAUGCGGUACUCAUCCUGUGUGGAGUUCGAAACCAGUCUGCCAGAACGAGAGUUCUUCCUUUCCCAUAAGUACCUCCUCCCAGUCCAAUCCGGAAAGUCACAACUCUGACCAAUAUCAUGACUGUUCCAAUAUUGCUCCUUGUCUUAAUCAAAAUGUAAAGGAAGACACUGAUUUGGAUCAGGCAAGGCAUGAUUCUCCUGCUGCUGAUCAGAGUACUGGUAACAGUUUAUGCCAUGAUACUUCAUAUCAUGUCAAUAGUAGUGCUUAUGGAAGCAUGGACAGUGGAAAUGAUGGGCAUGCUACUUCAGCUAUAGUAUCCAAGAACAACCCAGAAGGUUUCAGUGAUAGUGUUUGUCAUAAUUAUGAUGGGUCUCGAGCCACAUAUUCUCAUCGCACUAGUCAAAGAGAAGCAGCUCUAACCAAGUUUCGACUGAAGCGGAAAGAGCGAUGCUUCGAGAAAAAGGUAUUACAACCUCCACUGAUAUUGUUAGUAAAAUGCUACUUUACUUUGAAAGUAUUUAUGGUAAAUUUAUUUCUAUGGCUAUAGUUAGGUUGGAAACUCCUGUACUAUCUUCUGCUGAUGAACUUACUGAUAAGAACUCUUAAUUUCUUGUAAAGGUUCGAUAUCAAAGCCGGAAGAGACUGGCAGAACAGCGGCCUCGGGUCAAAGGGCAGUUUGUACGCCAAGUACACAAUGAUCAUCCAGUUGCUGAUGCUGGUGGUGAUUCAUAAAGUUGUUUUUUUUUUGUUUUUUUUAUUUAUUUAGGUUGCCUGUAGUAUUAAAUUGCAGCUGACUGUAACACUGAUUGCGUCAACAAGGAUUAGCUGUAGGUUGGUGUGCGUGUGUGUGUGUUGGUGAAAUCUGUUUAUCUUGAAGCAUUAGGCAAAGUAAGAGUAGGCCAGUUGGGAGAUAGCUAAAGGGCAGUAUUUAUUCUUAAGGUGUUUCCUCCUGACUUUAUAUUUGGACUGCCACUUGCAAAUUUAGGAUUUUGUAAUAUUUAGUGGGAUCGAUUUUGGUUUUACCUGUGUAUAUGAAUUCUUGGUUAAAUACUAAUAUAGGUCUGUAAUUACAUAGUUUGUUUCAGUUUGAAAAAAUUUCCCUCGAGAACCUCUGGUUCUGCAGUUGAAUGAUCUUUCUUUGCAUUCGAUUAUUGAACAUUGUUUUAAACUCACAUGGUGCAGUUGCCCAUCUAUUUCAAUUCGCAACCAUUACUGACGUUAAUUUUCACUCUACUCCAUACAUAGGUAUAAGUGUGAAAGGUAAGAUUGCAUACCUGUAAGUCUCCGUGCCACUUGGAAGGUGGUGGUAACCUGGGAGAGUAUAUAAAUUAUGGCUUUA